rnacentral:rRNA from 1 species
AGUGAACGCUGGCGGUAGGCCUAACACAUGCAAGUCGAACGGCAGCACAGUAAGAGCUUGCUCUUACGGGUGGCGAGUGGCGGACGGGUGAGGAAUACAUCGGAAUCUACUUUUUCGUGGGGGAUAACGUAGGGAAACUUACGCGAAUACCGCAUACGACCUACGGGUGAAAGCAGGGGAUCUUCGGACCUUGCGCGAUUGAAUGAGCCGAUGUCGGAUUAGCUAGUUGGCGGGGUAAAGGCCCACCAAGGCGACGAUCCGUAGCUGGUCUGAGAGGAUGAUCAGCCACACUGGAACUGAGACACGGUCCAGACUCCUACGGGAGGCAGCAGUGGGGAAUAUUGGACAAUGGGCGAAAGCCUGAUCCAGCCAUACCGCGUGGGUGAAGAAGGCCUUCGGGUUGUAAAGCCAUUUUGUUGGGAAAGAAAAGCAGCAGGUUAAUACCCCGCUGUUCUGACGGUACCCAAAGAAUAAGCACCGGCUAACUUCGUG